UACGUAGGUGGCAAGCGUUGUCCGGAUUUACUGGGCGUAAAGAGCGCGCAGGCGGUCGUUUUAAGUCGAAUGUGAAAGCCCCCCGGCUCAACUGGGGAGGGUCAUUCGAUACUGAUCGACUUGAAGGCAGGAGAGAGAAGUGGAAUUCCCGGUGUAGUGGUGAAAUGCGUAGAUAUCGGGAGGAACACCAGUGGCGAAGGCGACUUCUUGGCCUGUUCUUGACGCUGAGGCGCGGAAAGCUGGGGGGAGCAAACGGG
rnacentral:rRNA from 1 species